GCGAAUCAGGGGAGGUCGCGACUGCUGUAGACUGUGCGGUCGUGGCUACAGCGUACUGCACGGGUACUUCUGGCGGGUCAUGUCGAGGAGCGCGGGCGCCUUUCUACGCGCCAGAGCUGUAAUGCAUUUAUGGUGAGAUCGGUGGGGGCCCACGAGAUCCGCGCCCUCAUCUGCCGGUCUACGCCCGAGGCGGACCCUUGUCUUGUGGGCUCGGAUGAGUCCGACCCCCUACGCCCGGGGUCGGGCGAGGUGGAGCCGUGCGGCGAGGGGUCGGGUGCAUCCGACCCUGGGACCGUGGGUCGGGCGAGGUGGAGUUUCGUUAGCGAGGGGUCGGGCGUGUCCGACCCCGAGGCCCUGGGUCGGGCGAGGUGGAGUGGGAUGCUCCUUGCCCAUGCCGGGUCGGCAGAGAUCGCUAUUACCGCAGGUGGGCCUGGGCCUUUU
rnacentral:lncRNA from 1 species